rnacentral:misc_RNA from 1 species
UUUCCGUAGGUGAACCUGCGGAAGGAUCAUUAACACGUCUAUUUAACAACUUACACGUGAACAAACUCACUUUGGCUUGAGAUUAUGCGCAAAUGUUGCUGUAAUGUUUCAUUGCAAGUAGUCUCAUCCGAAGUUUCUCUGCUAUCACUUUAUUGGGAUAGUGGAGGCGGCGGUUAGUCAAGUUCGCUUGUUUAGCCGUCGUUGCCGUUCAAUCCAAUUUGAGUAUUAUAUUGUGAAUGUCACAACCAAAAUUAACACUUUCAACAGUGGAUAUCUUGGCUCCCGCAUCGAUGAAGACGCAGC